rnacentral:rRNA from 1 species
GACGAACGCUGGCGGCGUACUUAACACAUGCAAGUCGAACGGAAAGGCCCUGCUUUUGUGGGGUGCUCGAGUGGCGAACGGGUGAGUAACACGUGAGUAACCUGCCCUUGACUUUGGGAUAACUUCAGGAAACUGGGGCUAAUACCGGAUAGGAGCUCCUGCUGCAUGGUGGGGGUUGGAAAGUUUCGGCGGUUGGGGAUGGACUCGCGGCUUAUCAGCUUGUUGGUGGGGUAGUGGCUUACCAAGGCUUUGACGGGUAGCCGGCCUGAGAGGGUGACCGGCCACAUUGGGACUGAGAUACGGCCCAGACUCCUACGGGAGGCAGCAGUGGGGAAUAUUGCACAAUGGGCGGAAGCCUGAUGCAGCAAUGCCGCGUGCGGGAUGACGGCCUUCGGGUUGUAAACCGCUUUCGCCUGUGACGAAGCGUGAGUGACGGUAAUGGGUAAAGAAGCACCGGCUAACUACGUG